rnacentral:rRNA from 1 species
CUGGCGGCGUGCCUAAUACAUGCAAGUCGAACGGUCUUUCUAUGGAAGCAUGCUUCACUGAGAAGAUAGUGGCGAACGGGUGAGUAACACGUGGGUAACCUGCCCAUAAGAGGGGGAUAACAUCCGGAAACGGGUGCUAAUACCGCAUAGUUUUCUUGAUUGCAUGAUUGAGAAAGGAAAGACGGCCUUUGUGCUGUCGCUUAUGGAUGGACCCGCGGCGUAUUAGUUAGUUGGUGAGGUAACGGCUCACCAAGACGAUGAUACGUAGCCGACCUGAGAGGGUGAUCGGCCACAUUGGGACUGAGACACGGCCCAAACUCCUACGGGAGGCAGCAGUAGGGAAUCUUCCGCAAUGGACGAAAGUCUGACGGAGCAACGCCGCGUGAGUGAAGAAAAGGUUUUCGGAUCGUAAAACUCUGUUGUCAGAGAAGAACAAGUUGGAGAGUAACUGCUCCAGCCUUGACGGUAUCUGACCAGAAAGCCACGGCUAACUACGUGCCAGCCGCUGC